UUAAGCAAUAAAACAAAAUUUUAAAAACCAAAAAACGCUGUGAUGGCCAAUGGGGGUGAACGUCACUUCCGGCCCAGCCAUUUAUCAGGGGAGUUCGAGCCCCGUACACCAAGGUGGUGGGUGUGGUCCCCAGUCAGGGCACCUGCAGGAAUCAAGGCAUAAAAGCAUCCCUGUGCCCAACAACAAAUCGAUGCUUCUCUCUCUAAAAACAAUAAAUACGUAAAACGGCGUCAUUUCAGAUGCAACAACCCGACGGCCAAUUCUUGGUCAACUGGGGUUAAACGUCAUUUCGAUCCUCAGGAAGGUCAACGGGACGGUGCGGUCGCACUCAAAAAACGUCAUUCCCGGCGCAGUGAAAAGUGGCGCUUGGACAGACGUCAUAUCCGUCGCAGAGAAGGUCAAAAUGGCCAGGUGAACGGGUUGAACCAACCUCACUUUCGUCGCGGAGGAGGUCCGAUGGGUGUGGGGCGCGUUCCCCCAAGCGUCAUUUCCGGCGCGACGAAAGGUCGAAGACUCGGGUGGCGCUCCAAAAGCGUCAUUUCCGGCGCAAGGAAGGUCCUCCCGGCUGCGCUGUCGAUGGGUUGCGACGUCAAAAUGGCUGCGAAUCAGCCCGGGAUUCACAUCCCUUCCGCAGCCAACAGACGUCCAGCUGAAACGUCACGCUGCCUGCCACCCCGCAACGCGGAUUUACACGUCUCUUCUGCCGCGUCUGAAGGUCACGCUUGCUUGCGGCAUGACGUCGUCUGCUACGUCAUUUCGGCAGCGACCGGACAUCCCUCCGGGGUUUGGUCACGCCGGCCCCAGCGUCGCCCGGGCUUAAAAGUCGCCUGGGCCGCGAGUUCUCGGGGCUUGGCGGUCGUUUCCGCCGCGACGUGAUGUCGGGGCAGAGCCACAUCCGCGGGCAUUCCUGUCCCUGCAGCGGGGACCAGACCUCACCGGGGCCGGGGCGCCAGGACAGGAGCCCCUCGCCGGAUGGGACGGCGGCGGUGAAUGCGGUCCAUCCCUGAGCCAGCUUCCUCCUGCAGGUGAUCGCCCACAGUCAGUAUCAGAAGUCCCAGCGAAUCUCCAUCUUCCUGAGCAUGCAAGAUGAAAUCGAGACCGACGAGAUCAUCAAGGACAUCUUCCGCCGCGGCAAGACCUGCUUUGUCCCCCGGUACCGGUUCCAGAGCAACCACAUGGACAUGGUGAGGUUGGCAUCGCCCGAGGAGAUUGCUUCGCUUCCCAAAACAUCCUGGAAUAUUCAUCAGCCCGGUGAGGACGAGGCUCGGGAGGAGGCCUUGUCGACAGAUGUUCAGACACCAAAGGUGCACUCUGUGUCCUGCAUCCGUAGACCAGGUGCACGCCACCAUCACACAGCUCUUCUUGUUUCCAAGAAGCAAGGUUGCAGGCAUUUGAAGAGAAUGAGCGGCAGUUUGCUUUUCCUGAACUCCCAGCCCAUUAAGAUGAAAAGAUGCUUCCUUAGGGGUUCUGGCCUGUUAUUCUCGCCAAGACGGGUUCGCCCGCCCACGCUCUCAUCACCAGGCGCGAUUCGCCGAGUGUGCCGUCCAUCACUGAAGUGCCAUUCAGAGGCCUGACCCAGGUGACUGGGAGGUGCCCACACACAGCUCUUCGGCUCUUCAAACUCCUUUUCCAGUUCGCUUUUUAUUUCAUUACCUUUCACUGAGACAUCAGGAUGUCUCUGAGGGGCGGCCUGGACCUCAUCUUCAUGCCGGGGCUCGGGUUCGACAAGCAAGGCAACCGGCUGGGCCGGGGCCGGGGCUACUACGACACCUUCCUGAGGCGCUGUGAGCAGCACCAGCAGGCGAAGCCCUACACCAUGGCC